CGCCGGGAACCGCGCGGCAGUAGGGUCGUAAACUCCGCCAGGGCCGGAAGGCAGCAACGGUAGCGAACCCGCUGGGCGACGCGAUCUUCCCGGUACUC
rnacentral:SRP_RNA from 1 species